rnacentral:rRNA from 1 species
UACGUAGGGUGCAAGCGUUAAUCGGAAUUACUGGGCGUAAAGCGUGCGCAGGCGGUUAUGCAAGACAGAUGUGAAAUCCCCGGGCUUAACCUGGGAACCGCAUUUGUGACUGCAUAGCUGGAGUACGGCAGAGGGGGAUGGAAUUCCGCGUGUAGCAGUGAAAUGCGUAGAUAUGCGGAGGAACACCGAUGGCGAAGGCAAUCCCCUGGACCUGUACUGACGCUCAUGCACGAAAGCGUGGGGAGCAAACAGG